UAGAGGAAGUAAAAGUCGUAGCAAGGUCUCAGUAGAUGAACGUGCGGAGGGAUCAUUACAGAGUUUUUAACUCGUAAAUCCAUGUGAUCUUACCACUGUUUCCUCGGUGGAAGGUACCCGGAAGGGUGUCUGGAAGCCGGUGGACAUUUAACCUCUUGUUAAUUUUGUUAAUUCUGAAUCAAUCUCAGAACUAAGUUAAAACUUUCAACGACGGAUCUCUUGGUUCUAAGGCGCAUCGAUGAAGAACGCAGCGAAAUGGGAUAAGUAAUGUGAAUUGCAGAAUUCAGUGAAUCGUCGAAUGCUUUGAACGCACAUUGCGCCCAUUAGUAUUCUAGUGGGCAUGCCUGCUUGGAGCGUCAUUUCGACCGUUAAGCGUAGCUUAAGUGUUUGGAGAUUGCCUAAUGACGCAGCUCCUCAAAACCAGUGGCAGAGUUUUUACGUGCUCUCGAGCGCCGUAACGGUUCCUAUUCUCGCUUUUGAACACGUCUAGGCGAUAGCCAAAAACCGCUUGCUUCGGCAGCACUUUUGUAAUGGUUGACGUCGGAUCAGGUAGGAAUACCCGCUGAACUUAAGCAUAUCAUAA
rnacentral:rRNA from 1 species